rnacentral:rRNA from 1 species
AGGACGAACGCUGGCGGCGUGCUUAACGACAUGCAAGUCGAGCGGAAAGGCCCUUCGGGGUACUCGAGCGGCGAACGGGUGAGUAACACGUGAGCAAUCUGCCCUUAGCUUCGGGAUAGCUCCGGGAAACCGGAAUUAAUACCGAAUAUGACUUCGGCCGACAUCGGCUGCGGUGGAAAGUUUUUCGGCUAGGGAUGAGCUCGCGGCCUAUCAGCUUGUUGGUGGGGUAAUGGCCUACCAAGGCGACGACGGGUAGCCGGCCUGAGAGGGCGACCGGCCACACUGGGACUGAGACACGGCCCAGACUCCUACGGGAGGCAGCAGUGGGGAAUAUUGCGCAAUGGGCGAAAGCCUGACGCAGCGACGCCGCGUGGGGGAUGAAGGCCUUCGGGUUGUAACCCUUUCAGCAGGGACGAAGCGAAAGUGACGGUACCUGCAGAAGAAGCGCCGGCUAACUACGUGCCAGCAGCCGC